rnacentral:rRNA from 1 species
CUAAGCAUAUCAAUAAGCGGAGGAAAAGAAACCAACCGGGAUUGCCUUAGUAACGGCGAGUGAAGCGGCAAAAGCUCAAAUUUGAAAUCUGGCGUCUUCGACGUCCGAGUUGUAAUUUGAAGAAGUAACUCUGAUGCUAGUCCCUGUCUAUGUUCCUUGGAACAGGACGUCAUAGAGGGUGAGAAUCCCGUCUGGCGGGGGUGCUAGUGUUGUGUAGAGUGCUUUCGACGAGUCGAGUUGUUUGGGAAUGCAGCUCUAAGUGGGUGGUAAAUUCCAUCUAAAGCUAAAUAUUGGCGAGAGACCGAUAGCGAACAAGUACAGUGAUGGAAAGAUGAAAAGAACUUUGAAAAGAGAGUGAAAAAGUACGUGAAAUUGUUGAAAGGGAAGGGCAUUUGAUCAGGCAUGGUGUUUUGCGGCACUCGCUCCUCGUGGGUGGGUUCACCGCAGCUCACUGGGCCAGCAUCAGUUUUGGUGGCAGCAUAAACCCUUGGGAAUGUGACUUUGUCUUCGGAGGAAGUGUUAUAGCCCAAGGUCAUACUGCCAACCGGGACUGAGGACUGCGGCUUCGGCCAAGGAUGCUGGCAUAAUGGUUAAAUGCCGCCCGUCUUGAAACACGGACCAAGGAGUCUAACGUCUAUGCGAGUGUUUGGGUGUAAAACCCGUACGCGUAAUGAAAGUGAACGUAGGUGAGGGCCCUUUAGGGUGCAUCAUCGACCGAUCCUGAUGUCUUCGGAUGGAUUUGAGUAAGAGCAUAGCUGUUGGGACCCGAAAGAUGGUGAACUAUGCCUGAAUAGGGUGAAGCCAGAGGAAACUCUGGUGGAGGCUCGUAGCGGUUCUGACGUGCAAAUCGAUCGUCGAAUUUGGGUAUAGGGGCGAAAGACUAAUCGAACCAUCUAGUAGCUGGUUCCUGCCGAA